rnacentral:rRNA from 1 species
GAGAGGAGCUUGCUCUUCUUGGAAGAGUUGCGAACGGGUGAGUAACGCGUAGGUAACCUGCCUUGUAGCGGGGGAUAACUAUUGGAAACGAUAGCUAAUACCGCAUAACAAUGGGUGACCCAUGUCAUUCAUUUGAAAGGGGCAACUGCUCCACUACAAGAUGGACCUGCGUUGUAUUAGCUAGUAGGUGAGGUAACGGCUCACCUAGGCGACGAUACAUAGCCGACCUGAGAGGGUGAUCGGCCACACUGGGACUGAGACACGGCCCAGACUCCUACGGGAGGCAGCAGUAGGGAAUCUUCGGCAAUGGGGGCAACCCUGACCGAGCAACGCCGCGUGAGUGAAGAAGGUUUUCGGAUCGUAAAGCUCUGUUGUAAGUCAAGAACGAGUGUGAGAGUGGAAAGUUCACACUGUGACGGUAGCUUACCAGAAAGGGACGGCUAACUACGUGCCAGCAGCCGCGGUAAUACGUAGGUCCCGAGCGUUGUCCGGAUUUAUUGGGCGUAAAGCGAGCGCAGGCGGUUUGAUAAGUCUGAAGUUAAAGGCUGUGGCUCAACCAUAGUUCGCUUUGGAAACUGUCAAACUUGAGUGCAGAAGGGGAGAGUGGAAUUCCAUGUGUAGCGGUGAAAUGCGUAGAUAUAUGGAGGAACACCGGUGGCGAAAGCGGCUCUCUGGUCUGUAACUGACGCUGAGGCUCGAAAGCGUGGGGAGCGAACAGGAUUAGAUACCCUGGUAGUCCACGCCGUAAACGAUGAGUGCUAGGUGUUGGGUCCUUU